rnacentral:rRNA from 1 species
GAGGAAUAUUGGUCAAUGGGGGCAACCCUGAACCAGCCAAGUCGCGUGAAGGAUGAAGGUCUUAUGGAUUGUAAACUUCUUUUAUACAGGAAUAAAUUGGGGGACGUGUCCCCUUUUGCAUGUACUGUAUGAAUAAGGAUCGGCUAACUCCGUGCCAGCAGCCGCGGUAAUACGGAGGAUCCGAGCGUUAUCCGGAUUUAUUGGGUUUAAAGGGUGCGCAGGCGGGAUGUUAAGUCGGCGGUGAAAUUUUGCAGCUCAACUGUAAAAGUGCCUUCGAUACUGGCUUCCUUGAGUGUAGAUGAAGUAGGCGGAAUUUGUGGUGUAGCGGUGAAAUGCUUAGAUAUCACGAGGAACUCCGAUUGCGCAGGCAGCUUACUAAACUACAACUGACGCUCAUGCACGAAGGCGUGGGGAUCAAACA